GAUGAACGCUGGCGGCGUGCCUAAUACAUGCAAGUCGAGCGAACAGACGAGGAGCUUGCUCCUCUGACGUUAGCGGCGGACGGGUGAGUAACACGUGGAUAACCUACCUAUAAGACUGGGAUAACUUCGGGAAACCGGAGCUAAUACCGGAUAAUAUAUUGAACCGCAUGGUUCAAUAGUGAAAGACGGUUUUGCUGUCACUUAUAGAUGGAUCCGCGCCGCAUUAGCUAGUUGGUAAGGUAACGGCUUACCAAGGCAACGAUGCGUAGCCGACCUGAGAGGGUGAUCGGCCACCCUGGAACUGAGACACGGUCCAGACUCCUACGGGAGGCAGCAGUAGGGAAUCUUACGCAAUGGGCGAAAGCCUGACGGAGCAACGCCGCGUGAGUGAUGAAGGUCUUCGGAUCGUAAAACUCUGUUAUUAGGGAAGAACAAAUGUGUAAGUAACUAUGCACGUCUUGACGGUACCUAAUCAGAAAGCCACGGCUAACUACGUG
rnacentral:rRNA from 1 species